UGCCUCAGUAACGGCGAGUGAAGCGGCAAAAGCUCAAAUUUGAAAUCUGGCCCUUUCAGGGUCCGAGUUGUAAUUUGUAGAAGAUGCUUCGGGCGUGGUGCCGGUCUAAGUUCCUUGGAACAGGACGUCAUAGAGGGUGAGAAUCCCGUAUGUGACUGGCCACCUACGCCCAUGUGAAGCUCUUUCGACGAGUCGAGUUGUUUGGGAAUGCAGCUCAAAAUGGGUGGUAAAUUUCAUCUAAAGCUAAAUAUUGGCCAGAGACCGAUAGCGCACAAGUAGAGUGAUCGAAAGAUGAAAAGCACUUUGGAAAGAGAGUUAAACAGUACGUGAAAUUGUUGAAAGGGAAGCGCUUGCAAUCAGACUUGCGCCUGGGCGAUCAUCCGGGGUUCUCCCCGGUGCACUCGUUCAGGCUCAGGCCAGCAUCGGUUUCGGUGGUGGGAUAAAGGCCCCAGGAACGUAGCCCCUCUCGGGGGGUGUUAUAGCCUGGGGUGCAAUGCCGCCUACCGGGACCGAGGACCGCGCUUCGGCUAGGAUGCUGGCGUAAUGGUUGUAAGCGACCCGUCUUGAAACACGGACCAAGGAGUCUAACAUCUAUGCGAGUGUUUGGGUGUCAAACCCAUACGCGUAAUGAAAGUGAACGGAGGUGAGAACCCUUUAGGGUGCAUCAUCGACCGGUCUUGAAGCUUGCGGAUGGAUCUGAGUAAGAGCAUAGCUGUUGGGACCCGAAAGAUGGUGAACUAUGCGUGAAUAGGGUGAAGCCAGAGGAAACUCUGGUGGAGGCUCGCAGCGGUUCUGACGUGCAAAUCGAUCGUCAAAUUUGCGUAUAGGGGCGAAAGACUAAUCG
rnacentral:rRNA from 1 species